CCGGCAGAUAUCUGGUCGAACACAGGAGCCGUCCAGGACAACGCAGUACCGGCAGCCACCGCUCCCAAGCAAACUCCACAUAUUGACGAGUCUUCGAAGUCUUCGACACGCCUUCCUGCAGGAGAUCGUAAGUGAUUGGAUUGCGAGAGUCUCCAUCCUCUUGGCUAACAGUCUGAAAAGGAAAAGACGUUUCUUAAGGAUCAGUAUAAUAGACUUUACUCUUGACUCCAAUACUCCUAGGAACUAGUCAUGAUAUUCACAAUUGCCUCCUUAUUGGGUUUUCUAAGCGCCCUAGUUGUAAUUAUAGGAAAAGUUCUUGUGUUCCUUUGGACAUUGCUAAAAACGAUUUAUACAACAGUGAAAAUAGCCAGAACCCUACAGAAAGCCCCAACCUUCAGUGAUAUUAAGGCUCAAUUCAAGGAGAUGUCACUUGGAACAGCUAGAACUGUGUUGAAAGAAAAGUUUAAUAAAUCAUGAAAAACUUUCUGAUCAAGAAAAAGUAAUCAAGUUUUUAAGAAAACAGUUUAACAGUUUUCUAUUUUUCAUAAUAACAAUUAUAGUAGCCUUUAAUAUGUUUUUCUAAGACCAUUCUUCUUGGAAACAUUUUAGUUUAUGCACAAUUAAACUUCUUUAAAUAAAUCUUACAGUAUAUUGGCACA